rnacentral:rRNA from 2 species
CCAAUAGCGUAUAUUAAAGUUGUUGCAGUUAAAAAGCUCGUAGUUGAAUUUCGGGAUUGACACAUCGGUCGUGCCUUAAGGGGUAUGAACUGGUGUAGUCAAUUUCUCACCUUCUGGAGAACCGCGAUGCCCUUAAUUGGGUGUCGUGGGGAACCAGGACCUUUACUUUGAAAAAAUUAGAGUGUUUAAAGCAGGCAUUU